GCCAGGUGUGGUGGUGCACGCCUGAAAUCCCAGUCGCUUGGGAGGCUGAGGCAGGAGGAUCUCAAGUUCAAAGCCAGGCUCAGCAACAGCAAGGCACUAAGCAACUCAUUGAGACCCUGUCUCUA
rnacentral:sRNA from 1 species